rnacentral:lncRNA from 1 species
UAGUUCAUGCUAUUUGUAUCCUAGGAAAUCUUUCUCCAGCCACAGUCAUAAAGACCAUCACUGUAUUUUACUCAUCUAUUCUUCGACAAUUACUCUCUUUUCAGAAGGACAACUUCAGUGUCACUAUGAGCGGGACAUACUCUUACUAGCAUGGGGCUAUGGUAGCCACCACUGCAAUCCCAAAGCUGACCAGGCUCCCUGCUUACCCCGAGAGGCCACACCACCAACCUGCACUGACACCCCUGAAACACUGACCUUCUAGAAACAUUCUUUUUUUCUGAGAGAGUCACACCAAGGUCUGGUUAAGGAGGCACUCAGAGCAUGGACUUCUCUUAAAGCUGAUGAAUAUUCGUGAGCUCCUUUAGAAGGAAGAGAUCACACAGUCUCAGGGCACCUGCUCUACCCUCUUCCCUCUACAGCGAGACCCUCCCCACCCCCGCACAAGAAAGGGGCGCUGAGAAGAGUAAGUCCACAGGCAAGUGAAGACCCCAUCACAUGCACAACAGGCCACAUUCAGGACAGCGCUAGAGGCACCAUCACACUGGAAAUAGCUGGCAUAAAAAGAGAUGGAAACGGUGGCGGAAGAUGCUGCAGCCUCUGCCAUCAUACCAAAAAGGACACAGCCAUGGAAGCCGCAGGUCUAUUUUUAUAAACACCAGCACCCGGGAUUCCUCGCCGAGAUGUUCAAACACGGGCGCUGACUGACACCGGCAACCCUGCCCCGGGCCCUAACAGAGGUGCUCCCACUCUCAUGCAACACAAACCCACUGCACUUCCAGGGUCCUCGUGUGGGGCCACACCUCUGUUAAGCAGGAUCGUCUCCCCACGUGCCCACCUCCGUCACCAGGCUCCAUCCCCACAGGCUCUCUCCCUGAAUGCCCACCUUGUGACCAGGCACCAUCCCCCCAGGGCCCUCUCCUGGCGUGCCCACCUCAGUCACCAGGCUCCGUACACCCCCAGCUCCGUACACCCCCACCCCAGCCCUCUCCCCACAUGCCCACCUCGGUCACCGGGCUCCAUUCCCCCC